CUCACAUAUGCGCGCAGAUCCCUGGCUCCGGUGCUACUGGGGUCGCACCUGGACGCGGGUUGCAGACCCCUGGCAAAUUGUGGAGCUGGGGGAAGGAUUCAAGAUGGAUUGUCAUCAAAGUUCACUUCUUUAACAAAAGUGGUUUAUGACUUUAAUAAAAUAUUAGAGAAUGGAAGGAUCUGUGGAAGCCCUUUACAAAAACUUGUGAUAGAAAGUUUUGAUGAUGAGCAGACUUUGCAACAACUGGAAUUGCAAAAUGAACCAAUUUUACAAUGCUUCCAAAAUGCAGUUAGUGAAACAAAGAUGAAGACAUCAGUCUUCUCCCAGAGAGUGAAGAACAGGAGUGUGAAGAGGAUGGUUCAGAGACAGAGACUGGUGGCCAGGAGGACCUAGAAGAUUUACAGGAGGAAGAGGAAGUGUCAGAUAUGGGUGGUGACAAUCCUGAAGUGGGCAAGAAAGCUAGAAACUCAAGCAAAUUUGAGCUGAGGAAAAGCCCAGUUUUCAGUGAUGAGGAUUCUGACCUUGACUUUGAUAUCAGCAAAUUGGAACAGCAGAGCAAGGUGCAAAACACAGGACAUGGAAAACCAAGAGAAAAGUCCAUAAUAG
rnacentral:lncRNA from 1 species